GACCAACAACCAAAGCCAGUGUUGCUACAGAGGGAAACAAAGUAUGAAGACAUGCCAAUAACUCACUGGGAGAUUCCAUAGCGGUGUCCGCAGAGCCCCUCUCAGGCUCCAAUAGGUCCGUCUAUCGGCCAUUAAUUGGAAACGAGGCUCUUUUGUGGAUCUCAUGUGCACUUAUCCGUAGCUGAACAGCAAGUAGGGCAGAGAGAGAAGGAGAAAACCCGACACAGAACGUCUUCAUCAAGGACCCCGAUCUCUGUACUGGUUUUGGGCUUGCAGCCAGCCAGAUCUCCUCUGGCGCGACUGAAGACAGGAAGCCGAUAUGAAAGAAUAGGGGGACCCACUAGGAGCCGAUGCAGGAGCCGAGACAGAAGCUACUGAAGACGUUAGAAGUUAUUGUUUCUGAUUGCGAGAGUCCCCACUGGCAACAAUUAUAUCAUUAAUUGUGACGUCACAAAGCAGGUCGGGGAUCUCAACUACAUACU